GGGAACAUCAUAAUAUUGCGGGAGGAGUCAUUUGGUGGGUUUUGAGUGAAAUCCAAUCUCUAGAACUAUAUAAUACACCAAUGACCCCAUUUCAGAACGAACUUCGUACGAACCUGAAUUGGCCGAUUUCAAGGACUAAUCGAUAUCGGAUUGAGUCCAAAACUUGGGAAACAUCAUAAUAUUGUGGGAGGAGUUAUUUGGUAAGUUUUGAGUAAAAUACAAUCC
rnacentral:lncRNA from 1 species